UCCUUCACAACCCUGGGAGACGUCGCCAUCCACACUUCAUGGAUGACGGGAAUGGGUCCCAGCGCCAACAAACCUGGUGCAAGGCCAGGGGAUGAGCCGGGGCUUCAGAUCCCGUCUCUCCCAGUGGCCAUCACAGUCAACUGACCCAGUCAACCCGUCUGUUCAAGGAAUUAGUGGGAAGAUGAAAAGGCUUGGCUUCUCCUCUCUCCUGCUAUUUUGGAGUAUCUGUCCCGAGGAGAUGAACUCUGGCUGUUCAGCUGCCUCACACCUACAGG